GAAAUGCGAUAAGUAAUGUGAAUUGCAGAAUUCAGUGAAUCAUCGAAUAUUUGAACGCACCUUGCGCUCCUUGGUAUUCCGAGGAGCAUGCCUGUUUGAGUGUCAUGGAAUUCUCAACUCUAUUUGCUUUUGUGAAUAGAGCUUGGAUUUGGAGGUUUAUUGCUGGUACUUGUGAUCGGCUCCUCUUGAAUGCAUUAGCUCGAACCUUUGCGGAUCAGCUAUCGGUGUGAUAAUUGUCUACGCCGUUGCAGUGAAGCAUAUCAAUGGGCUCGGCUUCCAAUCGUCCUUUACUGGACAAUGACUUUGACCUUUGACCUCAAAUCAGGUAGGAUUACCCGCUGAACUUAAGC
rnacentral:misc_RNA from 1 species